rnacentral:lncRNA from 1 species
CUCUCUAUCGGCGCUCACGUUGUUGGAAACGUGAUGAUCGACCCCUCGGCGCGGAUUGGGUCGGGGUGCUUGAUCGGGCCCGACGUAGCAGUAGGACCGGAUUGCGUGAUCGAGGAGGGCGUGAGAUUGUCUCGGUGCACGGUGAUGCGAGGCGCCCAGAUCCGGAAGCACUCGUGCGUGUCCGGGAGUAUCAUCGGGUGGCACUCGAAGCUCGGGCAGUGGACGAGGAUUGAGAACAUGACCGUGUUGGGCGAGGAUGUCCAGGUGAAAGACGAGCUCUACAGCAAUGGAGGGGUGGUGUUGCCACACAAGGAGAUCAAAACCAGCAUUCUCAAGCCCGAGAUUGUCAUGUAGGAUUUGACGAAGAACACACACCGGAUGAUUUUUUAGAAGAUUGGUAUGUAUCGUGGAAAGAUGGUAACUUACGUAGCAUGUAUCUGUGUGUAGGGGGAUUUCAUGUGACGAACUAACGAAUAAACAAUGGUUUAGAUGGUUCAGAGCUGACAAUGAGAGAUUGGAAUUAAUUAUUGGGCAAGACAUUUUGGUUGGUGCAAACCAUCAAAAACAUGCUUUGUAGCGGUCUUUGACAGCUCAACCAUCUGCUGACACGGUAUCUUCACUCAAGAAAUAAAUGGAAGAAAUAGCGAGAAAAUGUUUAUAAACCUAAAAAGGAUUUGAGCAAAGAAUAAAAGUUUAUAAUGAAUCCCUGGCUUGAAUUUAUAGAAUCAAUGGCCCGGCUUAUGGCUUCCUCCAUAAAAGAAGCAUUGGAUUAGCCAGGAGUGGAAAUCCACUAUUUUCUACUAUUAAAUUGGUGUGGUUAGCAAUAUAUUUACAGAAAAAUUACUCCAUCCAUCACAUCCCAAUAGAACUAAAUUUCCAUCUUUUUGGAGUGUUUCUUUCUCAAACACUAAAUUGCAAUUAUACUCCAGAACUAGCUGGUAAAGGCCAUUUGAAGAAAUUAAAUGACCCCCUUCAUUUAUAACUGAUUGAAGUGUCUUUAUAUCUCUGCUAGUCAUGGAUGAAUGAUAUACAUUACAAUCAUUUGGAAUAGCUGGAACAGUUUCUCUAGCGUCAUUGUACAAAAGAUCAUUUUGAGAAUUUUUGUCAUUUGUAGUUAAUAUUUUGUAUGGUAAGCUGAAUAAUCAAUCUGUAUAUUACAUGCUGAAACCUAUACAAAACCAUAGUUCUAUAGUCAAAACUCUUGCAUAGUCCUUCUAGCAAAAGCUUAUUUGCAAAGGUGAUGGACACUACAACAUCCACUAGUUUCUCUUUUACACAUACCUGAACAAAUUUUGGACUGCCCCAUUAGCUUGGAGGGAUUUAAUCUCUGUGAAGUUUAGAAUCGUAUUCUCCACAUUUGCUGUCAGCUAACAAUUGGUCAUGGUUUCUUAAAGAUCUUAUAUGCCUAGUGUGGUCACUCCGCACAAAUUGGUGAUUGUGCAUUUUAAAGACAGGAAUGCCUUCUGUAAGUAGGCACGCCUCUUGACACAGGGCAUGUAUGUAUGCCCAUGCACAAUUGUCAUCCCACGAACUUCUAGAAGUAGUGGCAGAUUUGAAUGCUUUAGAUUGCGAUGUCUCACUUUUUUGUUCUUCCUGCUCACUUAACUGAAUAUGGAACACAUCUUAUAGGAUAUUAAUUCCAUUGGCUCCAAACUUUUAUUGCUAUUUCAAUAGAAAUUGUUAAUCAAAUAUUAUUCUCAAUAGUAGGACUUAUCUUUUUUGGACUGUUUAAUUGUAACACUACGGCAAUACUUUACUAGAAGUCUAGAAGUAAUAAAUAAAACAUUAAUUUCCUGAUAAGCAUCAUUUUCUUUUGAGUGCAUAUACUUCUCUAUUUUUCAGCAAGGAGAAUAAAUAGAGGAACUUGCUACAUACGCUUGGUUUGCUUGUGUACUUUAAAGAAUAUUAUAACAUAUACUUUUUUUACUUUUUUUUAACAGAAUGUACAAGAAAACCGGAUAAAGAUGUUAAUAAUAUAAUAAAAUAUUUAAUUUCUAUGUCUCACAUGUUCAGUUGCAACUUAAAAAAUAACCUAUGUAAUCAAACUUGACAUUCAAGUAGAAGGAUUUUAUUAUUAUCCAUAUUAAUGAGGUCAUUAACACUUCCUUUUUUUUAAAAAAAAUGAAAUAGUUUUCAUGGAGCAUCAAAAAGUCAUCAUGGUCAUAUUUUAUUACUUAUGAGAUCACAGCUCUUAGCAUCAUAUGAGGAUUACAAUUUCACUUCAUUCAAAUUGAAUUGAACUCUAGGGUAUUCUACCAUAUCAUUUUGCUUGAGUCAAGGACUAGCCAUUUGAGAUUCUUAUUUGGAAAAGAGUUGUCAAUUAUCCUAAAUAUUUAAUAAAAUUUCAUAAAGAUAAUAGAAAUAACACAAAGUCAUAUAUAUUUUACUAAUAUUGUGGCAACAUUAGCAUGAACUUAUAUUUAAACAUGAUCUUGAUGAAAAAUUAAUAUAUUAAUUAAAAUCACUCAUCCUCCAAAACAUCAUAGUUGUCAUUGCUAAUCAUAAGUUUAAUUGAAAAAAAAUAAUAAGAGGGAUUAAAUGAGUAGUUUAUGUGUUCUUAUUUUAAUCACAAAAUUAAAUUGAUUUUAACUAAAGCAAACUGUUGGCAGUGAAUAUGCCUAGAAUAUUCUUGAAUAUUCUGCAUCUAUUAUUAUUUAUUUAGAUUAAUCUUGUAUUAUAAUUUAUAAAUAUGUUUAUAAUUCAUAAAAACUUUUAAACACAUGAUUUAGAGGAUAUCUAGCUAAAAUUUCUUUUAACUAAGAUUAGUAAUAUUAAUUUAUAUUAAUACUCUAGAUAAAUUGCUGUGCAUUGCAUGUAGCAAUACUUAGUUUGCUUAAUAGUAGUUUUGUGACCAUUUUGUGAUCUCUUGUUGCACAUGAAGAGGUUCAUUGAAAAGAAAAAAUAAAAAUAGAUAAGUCACUUGCAUGAUAGUGCAUCAACUUUUUUUCUAUAUAGGGUGGGGUUUAAUGAAUGUUAUAAAGAGUUUGUAAUGUAAUAUGAGCCACGUCACUCUUUAGUGCUACAAUAGAUCCCCUCAUUGUGCAUUUUGAGGAUAAAGGUAACCAACCCACAACUCAUUCCAUUCCUUUUCUUUCUAAUCCCUCAAGUUGGAUCUCCUCAGGAAUUAGUAGUUAGUAAUAAAAGAAAACUAUGUUCUUACUAUGCUCCUAUUUUAUUCCUCUCCUAGUGGACCUUGUGACUAUGGAAAUCAUCUGAGUGUCAGCAUGCCCCUCUUCGCAUUUGCAGCACUUGUAAUGAGGUUUGCAAUAUGGGCAAUAGAUAAUCCCUUCAUCUGUCAUUGAACCUUAAGCCUCUCGUUUAGGGUCACUGAUAGCAAUGGCUGCAAGGUCACCUUGUGCACCACCAUACCCAUAACACAAAUCAAAAUAGAGAUCCAAGGCACAAGGCUACCAAGGAUGGGAAGACAACUGGUUCAGUACCAAUAGAAGACAACAGCCACAACAAGCACCUCAAAUAGGGAGCCAGAUCCAGGCACGACCAUGCUAGACACCCACAGCAUGUCAAAGGAAUAUACCACACUAGCCAGAUUAUAGAACCCACAUAAGUAGACCAAAAGACAGAGGGUAAACAUGAAAUCAACCAUUCAUCUAGUGGUGAGAACUAUGGGAAAGCAAACCAACACUCAUUGUGUCUAAGGUAUGCCAUGUGCUUAUACCUUCUGCUUGAGCUACACUCAGUUGAGGAAUGUAGAUGAGGUGAUCUUCAACAAACACUGUGUUGUUGUCAAUGACAGAAACCCUAUCCACUUCAAGGGCAUUGUGAAGCCCAUACCUCUCUAACUGCUUGUAAAUCUUCUCUACCAACAGCCCUGCUAGAGGAAUUCACACCUUGAUCACCUCUGUGCCAUCAUUGGCUUGCACAAUCAUUACCAUCGGCGCCAUAAACACAUCUAUAUCCUAGAAAGUGAACCCUAGAAUGGUGCUUCUAAUUAUGAUAAUUAUUAUUAUGAUUCAUUGCUACUCUAUCUUUUGCAUUCCUGCAUUUAUUGAUACCAUCAUCAAAUCAUUCUGUUAUUGUAUCACAACGUUGUUAGAAAGGUAAGGAAAUAGUGAAAUGUAAAUCUAUAAAUCUAUAAAUCUAUAAAUCUAUAGUUUAUUUUGAAGUUACAAAUUUAUCCCUACUAAUAAUAGAAUAAGUUAAUGUUCAUUUUAUUUUGGAUUUGAUGCAUUAAUAUAUAUAUAUUUUUAAUGACAUUUAUCGCUUGUUGAAGCUUUGAAACUUCGAUGGAGUUUUUUAGGGUAUUAGCUACUAUGAUACAGUUAAAAUUCUCAAUUUUAUUUUUGAAGCAUAAUACAAUACUUCCAAACUUGAAGUUCAAGUUAAUAAUCACUUAGAAGACUAUAGCAAUGUGUUAGCAAAGUAGGACUAUCAUUAAAAAUUGAAAACAUUAGAGUUUUUUAUAAGCAUAAAUCAAAUCCCUUUACACUGUGUGUGCAUAUUACACUCUUUAAACUUAGGAAGAUGAAUGGUCUCUAGGGUUGGAGGCUGUCUCUCAACACAGUUAAAAAAUGUAGCCUUUCAAUGUCUCCACUACUGCAUUGAUCUUGUGGUGCUACAUUUGCUUCAGCCUUCCCAAUAAACAAUGACCAAGCUUCAAAUGUUAUAGGGAAAGUCGACAUCAUUUCAACAAAAGCUCCAUCAUAGAAUUUAAUUAAAAAAGGUUGGGAAGGCUAUCUCCCACCAAUCCAAUCUACAUGGCCUACACAAGUUGUCCCCAUAUCUCUAAUGGUAGUGCUUGCAACUCUUAGUACCAACUUUCCCACCUCAAAAGAUAUUCCCCCUGCAGAUCCUUAUGCAGUGUUUUACACACCCUUUGCUGGUUGACACCCCUUUGCAUUUGUAGUUUAUUUCUUGCAGCAUCUACCACCCCAUGCUUUCUAUGGUUGGAUUUUCCCUAAAUUACUUAUUAAUCCAAUUGAUCCAAUAAAGGUUAUAAUUAUAAGCAUGUUUAUAAUUUAUAAACACAAGAUUCUUAUUGCAUAUCAACCAUUAGAUGAUAAAAUAAAAAAGAAUAUACUAGAAAGGGUUUAAGGAAGUUUAUAAAUUAUAAUCAUGUUUAUAAUUAUAAAUACAAAAUUAACUUAAAUGAAUAACAACUGUUAGAUGGUAAAAAAUCCUAGAAUAUCCAAGCUUAUUCUAGGUAUAUCCACUACCAAUAGGUUUGCUUAAGCAAACCACAAAAUUAAGAAUCUAGGUAUCUGAAGAGACUAGAGAGCUACUCUUGGAACCUACAAUAGUGCCAGUUCAAGGAGUACUAUGGAGCAAUGGUAGGUAAGCAAGUACAACUUUACUUUCAAGAAUGAUAGAACUUUUAAAUUACAUACUGACUUUGGUGUUAACAAGUGUAAAAAAGGAUUUCUAGCAUGGAAGAGAAGCCUUUGUGAACCACCCAAUGUUUGCUAGGCAAUUUCUAGUAGAAAAUUGUAAACACUUGCAAGUUUGGUGACAAUGUCAAUGUUGGAGAGGAGAGUUGGAAGAUAUUUAUUUCACUAGGUGAUGGCUAGAAGUUGUUGGUGGAGGUGGUCAUACACCCCAUAAUUAUAUAAGACAUGGAAAACAUCCUCAAUCUAUGUAAAACUACAAUCUAACAAAGACGAAGGUGGUGAGGGAUGUGAGGUCUAACUCACCAGCCCCAUUUGAAUAUGGAGAUGGUGAUUACUGCAUUUGUAAGCUGCAACCUUAGCCAAUACUCCAAAGCUUUUGACAUUCAUCAAUUUUUUGAAAUACCAACUCAAGGACAAGGCCAAGUUUAGCAGUCCAUUUCUUGAGUUCUACCCACCAACCUCCAUCCUGUUUGAACAUAAGACUGAUAGGUUGUAUAGAGAGUUUCAUUUUUAGAUUGCUGAGCCAAUACUAGGUUUUUACAUAGUUAAUUGUCAAGGGCCAUAGAUUGGACUCAAACAAGAUGAUUAAGUAUAACACAUCCUUUGUUGUAGCACACGUAGUUUUCACCCUUUAUCCUAUGCUAAUUUAGUAUAGAAUAACCACAAAGUGGAACCUAAACCCUUUAUGUGAUGUUAUGUGCCAAAUGCCAUGUGUCCCAAAGACAACGAAGUGGAACCCGAAUUUCAAAGCUUGGGCCAUUGAAUGAAAGAACAGAGCCAAACUCCCAAGCUUGCAACCAAGAAACGAAGAAACUGAAGCACAGAGUGACUCCUGAGUUUUCAGCCCAAAGAGCAAAGGGACAGAAGGAUAGAGUGACUUAGAAUAGUCCUAAAGCAUUUAACAUCCCAAUGUUAGAAAUACUCUACCAACUAGCAUGGUAUAGAACUUGGGUUUAAACCCAAGUCAAAUGUAAAAUAAGGACAGCCACACAAAUAAGAACUAAAUUAUACCUUAGGUUAGCUAGCUAUACCCAACCUAUCUGCUAUCUUUACUAUAUAUUUGGAACCCCACACCCCCAAUUGAGGAACACAUGUUUUAGUUUUUCACGUUUAGCCACCCUUAGUACUAAAAGGUAGUUUAUAGGAUUAACUCGAAACUUAUUAAAUAUGGAAUGGUGUUAGAUUGUGAAUUUGGACAUGGGAUGAACACCAUUAUAUUCACAACAAACUCUACAUUCAAUAAAUAUGCCAAAUUAGCAAAUCUAGAUGCUUUCCAUAAAUAGCAUUUGAGACUGAAUAGAAAUAACAUAAAGUCCAUGAUAGUGAGGGUGUUUGGCAGACAUGAUAAGUUAUCAUCUGACAAAUAUUAAGGGACUAAACUCAAUAUUGUAAAGGUUUCUAACACUAGCAAGUGCAAGUCAAUAAAUAAGUUUCUCUAAUCACGUCAAGUAUGCUUGACUAAUAGCACUUAGAAAUUCCACUUUUAUACUCAUUUGGUCAAGUGCACAUGCGAAGACUAGUUUCUCAACUAGCUUAAGCGGAGAUUGAAAAAGGUCCAGCAAUACCAACCUUUUGCUGUCAUGGUAGUAAGGAAAGAAUAUUCAAAAAGACUAGUUGAUAGAUAACUUUCGAUACCCACAGACACAUUUGUGACACUUGUAUGGAGUUCCUCCAUUUGAUUUCAAAGAAUGUUAGUCAUUCUUAGAGCUGACCUCCAUUGCAUACAAAGUAACUAUGGAGACCUUGGCUAUGAAGAAUUUCCACUUUACACUCUAGCUAGUGACAAGAGCAUGAAGUGAAAAGUAAACACCUCAUACUGCUAUAAUACAAUUUGCAAUCCCUGACUUUCAAGGAUUGUUCUUGUGAAAAACAUACCCCAAAUAUUUGUAACUCUCCACUUCCUAAAGUGUAGUGCCACAAUAAUAGCAUAUCCUAUCUUGCACUUGUCCUAACACCAUAACCUGUGUCUUGGUGAGAUUAACUUCCAUGCCGGUGGCAUCACAAAACUUGCUUAAUGCACCAAGUGUGUUUUGCAUUUAGUAGGCUGAGGGAGCCAAACAAAGUAUGUCAUCUAGUGAAUAUAGGCACAUUCCCAAAAGUUGGUAUGGCAUCAGUGUUCUUCCUUUGAUCAUGGAUUCAUUGCAUCAAUGUAAAUAGCGAAAAGCUUUGGCAACAAGGGGCAGCCAUGCUGGAAUCCAACCUGGUGGCCUAUCAAAGAUUUGUAGCUGCACAAUUCUAUAACAGCAGCAAUAAGUGGAGUGGGCAUUUGAAUUUCAAGCAAUCUUUGAAUAAGCAAAUGUCACGGCACUUGAUCAAAAGUUUUGACUAAGUUGACAUAGCCAAGGAAGACCACUCAAUUGCAUCUAAGUUAACAGAAGAGUGGAUAUAUUGGGCUUCAGCACAGCAACUUUGGAGGUCUGAUGGGAUCCAGUGCCAUAGUCAUUCAUCCCACCACUCGCAAAUCCCAAGGAUCCUCUACCCUAGAUAUCAUGUCAUUUAGGGUAAAAAGUGCUCUCCUAUAGUGCGUUAUAGCACCUAGCCACAGUUCUACAGAAGCAUAUAAAGGUGGCCAUUCAUCCUAGUUGCAGACGCUGCCCUUGGUCAUCAUCAUCCACACAAAUGGGGAGCGCCUAGGUCCUGGACACAGACACAUGUUGUGUUUCUGUCUUUUAUAGAAUAGCCCAAUAGCAAGUUGAGCUCAGCUGCACUGUGCCAAAAUCUUCUUAGCCGCAAGAAAAUCAAAUUCAAAAUCAUGGCUGUCCCUAAACCCUAAACGAGCUUAAAGUUUAUUUACUUUGUAAAACACAUCAAAUUCAUUGUAUGACAAAAAAGCAUUGGAACCUUCACCCUAAAAUGAUUUAUUUCUUAUUUUUAUUUUACUGUUUUUGUUCUGGUUUCUUAAGAUGUUGCUCUUAAUGCUAUUGAUGUUGUUUUCUAAUGGUACAACUUCUUUCAAGGAUAACUUCACUGUAAGAUUUAGAUCUUUCUGUUAAUCUUUCUCUAAGAUACAAACAGCUAUCACAUUAUGAACUCCCCAAAACAAAUAUUGAGGUAAGUCUUGUAGCUUAAAUAAAAUCCUUGAAAAAUUGCAUAAUUUAUGCCUAGAAACUUGGUUUAGAGCAAUUAAAAGGUAUUCACAAGGUAAAAGCUAUAAGAAAGUAAAACUUUCACAUGUUUAUUAAAUAUGUAUUCAUAGUAUGCAUUAGGAAGUUUGGUUGGAAACUUUACUGGAGUGACCUCUACACUUAGUGUACAAAAUCCCAAAGUUACAGGGGAUGGACAAUCUAUAUCACAAAUAUGGAUUAGCGAUAGUAGCAAAAGAGGAAUUCUUGAGGCUGGCUGGCACGUAUGUGAUGUUCUACAUUUAGUAAUUAUAAUAUAUUAAAAAACGUUUUCAGGUUUAUCCAAUGGUCAGCUCAGGACAUUGCCUGUUUAUCUACUGGACGGUAAUCCAAUUCUCUUUUUUAAUUUUUUUGAUAAAUAUGUUAUUGGAAACAGGCUGAUCGAUAUCAAAGCACCGGAUGUUUCAAUCUCCAAUGUAAAGGUUUUGUGCAAGUAGACACUAAAGUUGUUCUUGGAGGAGUGAUAUCCCAGAGAGAAAUAUCACUUGCCAUCUCUCAGGUAUUAAGGACAAAAAUCUCUAGCUUUUAAUGGAGUUUUCAAUUUCUAGGACAAGAAAACCCAGAAUUGGUGGCUCUUGGUCGAUGGCAAGCGCAUUGGUUACUGGCCUUCAUCGCUACUAAAAUCACUCCAACAAGGUGCAAGCUUUGUCGCAGCUGGAGGCGAGGUUGCAACAUUGAAUGGUAAAGCCAUCUUGCAAAUGGGGAGUGGAAAGUUUCCAAGUUCUGGGAAGGGAUUUGCUGCAUACCAUAGAAACAUAAGAGUUUCGGAUGCUAAUCACGUUAUCCAUGAUGCAAGGCUUCAGACAACACUGAUCAACACAAAUCAAGCUUGCUAUGGUAUUGGAAACAUUCAGUAUAAUCCUCAGUGGGGGUCACAUUUCUUCUUUGGUGGACCUGGCUGUUCUUAAACCCGCAAAAUGUUGUUAAAAUAAUAAUGCCAUGGGAACUUAAAUAAGAGAAUGGCGGCAUUUCUCAUCAAAUCUUACCCAAUGCAUGGGAGUUGCGCCAGUGAGCCAGAAGGAGUUCUAUUGGAUCAAGCAGCAGCUUCGAUGGGCAGGCAACACUGGAGAUUUGGGUCACGGCAGACGUCUCAUCCAUGGCACUGGCCUCCGAUACAACCGCUUUCUCUCCAAUCUCAUCAUCCAGAUGUACGGCAAGUGCCGGAGCAUCAAAGACACUCCGAUUGAUUGCGCUCAUGGAUUUCUACUCGAUGAUCACUACAUUUGCCUUGAGCGGGCAUCUGCGAGACUUGGCAACCUGAUCUUCGCUUCUUAGGUGGUGGUGGUCAUGGACGAUGCGUACAGAGAUUCGUAGAAAAGCCUCAAAUAUUCGUGGGCAACACUUGAAUCUCCACAAAUGGUCCACUGGAUUGAGCUAGAGGAGAUCUUUCCUGCCAUCGCCGCGGCUCUUCGCAAUGGUUCUCCUGGGACUUUGGAUGGACAUUGGCCAGCCAAGGCUACGCUUGUACGCUGAGUCCAUCCGCGGCAAAUCGCCGGAGAAGCUCUCCAGCGGCCCUCACGUUGUUGAAAACGUGAUGAUCGACCCCUCGGCGCGGAUUGGGUCGGGGGCUUGAUAGGGCCCGACGUAGCAGUAGGACCGGAUUGCGUGAUCGAGGAGGGCGUGAGAUUGUCUCGGUGCACGGUGAUGCGAGGCGCCCAGAUCCGGAAGCACUCG